GCCAGGGUGGCAUAGUGGUUUGUGUGUAGGAUCAAGACCUUGGAGGCUGGGGUUCGAAUCCACAGUUUGGAA